CCCACCACGCCACCCUAUCUAUCCAUUCAAGCUCUAAAUUGAUCUCUCUCUCAUCUCCGCUCCUCUCCACACCACCGUCCGCCGCCCACUCCUCUCUCUUCACCACCGUCUCUCUGCUCAGGUGUCGCUGCCGUCGCCGCUGCAACAACCUGACUUUGUUCUUAGAUCGCCUCGCCGUCGCACGCAGGGAUGUAGUGAAUCUGUGGGGAUGUUGGCGUGUUCUGUUUGCGGGGGGUGUUGAUGUAGUCAGGGGCUGUGGAUCUCCGCCAGUUGAUGUAGUCAGGGGUUGUGGAGAUGGCUAUGGAUCUGUCACUCUCUACCGAUGGCGGUCUCUUCCUGGUGAGGUAGAUCUCGACGGAUUUGGUGGUUUUGAGAUAUGGUGGUAUAUUUCUGUGAUGUGGUGGUGCUUCCAUGAUGAGGUGGUCGUCAAUCUGGGAAGGUGGUGGAGAUGAUUUUUGUGUGGUGGAUCUUGACGGAUCUGAUGCUUGUGUGUUGGCAAUGAUUUGUUUGAUGUGUUGCGGUGGUGGCUGUGGUGGCGAAUCUGGUUUUUGUGCGGUGGCGGUGACUUGUUUGAGUGUUGUAUUGGUGGCUGUGGCGAGGGAUCUCGGCAGUUUUGGUGUUAGUGUGGUGGCAGUGAUGGGGGCGUGGGAUGAGAUUAAUUUGUGACUUGGUAUUUGGUUAGUUGUGACCAACAAUUUAAUUGUGGCCUAAAAAUUAUUUUAAUUUGUGAUCAGAAAAUUAAAAUUUGUGAUGGAUGAAUAAGUUGUGACUUAUAAAAUUCGUGAUUUGUGAUCGGAAAAUAAUGUGUUAACCAUUUAAUUGUGACCUAAAAAUUAUAUAAUUUAUGAUCACAAAAUAAAUUGUGAUCAAUUAAUUUGAAAAUUUGUGAUCGACGAAUAAGUUGUGACUUAUAAUCGAGCAAUUGUGAU
rnacentral:lncRNA from 1 species